rnacentral:misc_RNA from 1 species
UCUCUCUCUCUCUCUCUUUUAAUGCUAGUGGCUACACAACCACCAAUUUUAUUUUUUUUCUGUUCUUGAUCUUAUCGAUUAUGAUUUUAAUAUGGAAAUUAAAUUAUAACUUCUGUUUUUUCUAUGAAUUUUUUAAUCUUAAUAUCAACCAGUGUAUCUUUGUUUGGACCAUAGAAAAUUAUAAAACAUAUGUAAUAUAUGGAUUUUAAUCAUAACUCAUGCAAAUAAAACAAAAAAAAAAAUGAAAGAAAGUAU